rnacentral:rRNA from 1 species
UACGUAGGGGGCAAGCGUUGUCCGGAUUUAUUGGGCGUAAAGAGCGUGUAGGCGGCCAGGGAGGUCCGUUGUGAAAACUCGAGGCUCAACCUCGAGACGCCGAUGGAAACCCCCUGGCUAGAGUCCGGAAGAGGAGAGUGGAAUUCACGGUGUAGCAGUGAAAUGCGUAGAUAUCGUGAGGAAGACCAGUGGCGAAGGCGGAUCUCUGGGACGGUACUGACGCUGAGACGCGAAAGCGUGGGGAGCAAACAGG